GAUUUUAAACAAUCUACUAGAUAACCAAGUGCAGAGAGGGUGAUACCUCGCUUGGAUUGUGUACAUAAUUCCCGUUGCGCUUGUUGUGAGAUAUUGCAGGAAGAUAAGUAACUCUCUUUUGAGCAAUCGGAAGGGGUCAUGACGUGAAAGAAGAUUGAGGGUGUACAUAGUAUGGAGAUUGUGCGUAGUUAGACCAUUAUCAUACGGUGGCGGUGAGAAUAGACGCUCUCAGUGAGAGAAUAAUCUGGCAAGGCCUUAUGUAGCAGUAAGAACCAACCCAGAAAUGCUAAAAUAAACCGUUUUGCACUUGAGGUCGAGCAAUCGGCCAAUAACACUAAAGAUAAGUACAAGUAGCCCAAAUGUGCAGAUGAACGAUACUGAUAUUGUUAUGCUAAAACAAAUAUUCUGAAUGUCGGGUGAAAGUUGGACGUAACCAGUCGUGCCUAGCCAUUAAACCGCUACGGAAGUUAUAGGGUCGCUCCUUAUGGCUCAGACCGUGGUAGGCUAUCGGUCAAUAAAUUGCGUACAAUCGAAGUAGAGCGAAGGCUCAUUUGAUAGAUUGUUUAAAG
rnacentral:ncRNA from 1 species